rnacentral:rRNA from 1 species
AACCCUUAUCUUUAGUUACCAUCAUUCAGUUGGGACGUCUAAAGAUACUGCCCCGGUCAACGGGGAGGAAGGUGGGGAUGACGUCAAGUCCUCAUGGCCCUUAUGUCCAGGGCUACACACGUGCUACAAUGGGCAGUACAAAGGGUAGCAAGCCUGCGAAGGUGAGCCAAUCUCAAAAAGCUGUUCGUAGUUCGGAUUGGAGUCUGCAACUCGACUCCAUGAAGCUGGAAUCGCUAGUAAUCGCGGAUCAGCAUGCCGCGGUGAAUACGUUCCCGGGCCUU